rnacentral:rRNA from 1 species
CCUACGGGGGGCAGCAGUGAGGAAUAUUGGUCAAUGGCCGAGAGGCUGAACCAGCCAAGUCGCGUGAGGGAAGACGGCCCUACGGGUUGUAAACCUCUUUUGUCGGGGAGCAAAGCGAGUCACGUGUGACUCAUUGAGAGUACCCGAAGAAAAAGCAUCGGCUAACUCCGUGCCAGCAGCCGCGGUAAUACGGAGGAUGCGAGCGUUAUCCGGAUUUAUUGGGUUUAAAGGGUGCGUAGGCGGAACAUUAAGUCAGCGGUAAAAUCGAGGGGCUCAACCCCUUUAAGCCGUUGAAACUGGUGAUCUUGAGUGGGCGAGAAGUAUGCGGAAUGCGUGGUGUAGCGGUGAAAUGCAUAGAUAUCACGCAGAACUCCGAUUGCGAAGGCAGCAUACCGGCGCCCGACUGACGCUGAGGCACGAAAGCGUGGGGAUCGAACAGGAUUAGAUACCCCUGUAGUC